GUAGGGUUAGGCCAUUUUAUAUAUGAAGGUAGGGGAUUGAACAUGAAAGACAAUUUGGGGUUCCAUUUGUUCUUCUUUUAUAUUUGCUUCUCUCCAGCCUGUUGUAAUCUGUGGAGCUCGAGGCUGCCUCAAACGCAACUAAUAUUCAGUAAAGAUAAAUUGCCAAAGCUUCAGCUUCUAGGAAAGUUGUCAGUCAGGAUUGAGCCUGUCCAAGAACACAAGCAAUGCAGAGAAAAGCAGAGAUGAGUGACCAAGAUAAGGGAAAGAGAGACAUGAUGACAUCAUUCAGCCUCUGGAUCUAGCCAUGGGUGAAGACAGUUCAUCUUUUCUUUCCCCUCCCACGCCACCCCUGCAGGCUUCUAGUUACAUGAGCCAAUGAGCAACUUGUUUAUUCCUUAAGUCAGUGUGAGUUGGGCUUAUUUUGCUUGUAAUCAAAUAACAUUAAAUAGAUACACAACCUGACCUUGGGCAAGUCAUAGUCUCUCUGAAGGUCAGUUCAGCUGUAAAACAGGAUGAUUCCUUUUUUACUCAUCACACAGGGACAUUAAGAGGCUCACAUUUAUGUGAAAUGUACAUGAAUACAUUUUGACAACUGUAAGUGUUUGGGAAAAAAAGGAUAAGUAUUAGUGUGUAUCCCUGAAGAAUAAAGAGAUAUUGUUUACUAUGAUUUUGUUUUCUUUAGAAAACAAAGAAACACUAUUCAGUCAAUUAUUAUAGACACUGGAAAAGCAUAAGCCCAUGCCCAAACCAUUAUAGUUAAAUCUCUUACCACAGGAUUUCUCUUUCAUGACCAAAAAUCACAGAUUUUUUUCUUUCUUUUCUUUUUCAAAGAACAUGAAAACCUACUUAUUAUUCCACCUAGAAUAUGCAAGAGCUAGCAUUUAACUUUAACGUUUGUUCUUAAAGCCUGCACAAAAAUUUUGAAAUAAAGAUUUGUUGCUGUCUC
rnacentral:lncRNA from 10 species